GAGCUGUUUGGACCCGUGUCUGUCGGUAGAUCCCCGACUCCUCGUACGGCCGACUACCGACGCCGUGUCCCGUCAUUCGUGUGGCUUACGCCGCUGUUGCCUUUUGAAGUGCUUGCGUGCCGGUACCCGACCUACGGGAAUUGGUGUGCUCCGUACACGGUUGCCUCGCGGUGGACGCCUUCGGGUGUUCCGCUGUGGCCAAGUGGCUCUUGCGGCGUUGCCUCGUGGCGCUGGCACGUUUACGUGUCCGGUSCUAUCAAGGCAGCCUUGCUCGYGCUGUUGGUUUCGGAUGUUGCUCWCGAUMAAGGCUCACGAUAAAGGCUUACGGCCAUUUUUGUUGGCAAAUCCUGACCCGAUAAAGCUCCCUGAACCCGARAUAAGUGUCGUAGAACGAUGUGUUGCCUCUGCCUCUCCGCAGUUAGUGGUAGGAUACGCAGCAUGCUGGGCCGAUGCAAGUAAGACGUAGGGGAUCUUUGUCGGUUUUGGAAGUUGCUGACUUGAACGGCUCUUGUCCCUUAUUGUUGCCUAAACCCGACCCUUGGACCCUUCGAAGAUUGGCCCGCUCACGAUAAAGGCUUACGGCCAUUUUUGUUGGCAAAUCCUGACCCGA
rnacentral:misc_RNA from 1 species